rnacentral:rRNA from 1 species
AUUGAACGCUGGCGGCAUGCCUUACACAUGCAAGUCGAACGGCAGCACGGGAGCAAUCCUGGUGGCGAGUGGCGAACGGGUGAGUAAUAUAUCGGAACGUGCCCAGUAGUGGGGGAUAACUGCUCGAAAGAGCAGCUAAUACCGCAUACGACCUGAGGGUGAAAGGGGGGGAUCGCAAGACCUCUCGCUAUUGGAGCGGCCGAUAUCAGAUUAGCUAGUUGGUGGGGUAAAGGCCUACCAAGGCAACGAUCUGUAGUUGGUCUGAGAGGACGACCAGCCACACUGGGACUGAGACACGGCCCAGACUCCUACGGGAGGCAGCAGUGGGGAAUUUUGGACAAUGGGCGCAAGCCUGAUCCAGCAAUGCCGCGUGCAGGAAGAAGGCCUUCGGGUUGUAAACUGCUUUUGUCAGGGAAGAAAAAACAUUACGUGUAAUGUACUGACGGUACCGUAAGAAUAAGGAUCGGCUAACUCCGUGCCAGCCGCCGCCGUAACAC